rnacentral:rRNA from 1 species
UACAGAGGUGGCAAGCGUUGUUCGGAAUUACUGGGCGUAAAGGGCGCGUAGGCGGCCUUCUAAGUCAGACGUGAAAUCCCCCGGCUUAACCUGGGAACUGCGUCUGAUACUGGGAGGCUAGAGUAUGGGAGAGGGAUGUAGAAUUCCAGGUGUAGCGGUGAAAUGCGUAGAUAUCUGGAGGAAUACCGGUGGCGAAGGCGGCAUCCUGGACCAUUACUGACGCUGAGGCGCGAAAGCUAGGGGAGCGAACGGG